AGUGCUUUGUACUUAGGCAGAGACCAAGUGAAGAAAAGGAGAUUGGGGUGGAUAAGAGGAUCAAAGUGAGAAGGGCUGGGAUUUAUUUCAUAGAUGUUAAGUUUUAGAUGCCCAUAGGCAUCUAAACAUUCAGGUAGAGAUAUCUGGAAGAAAGCUGCCACCAUUGAUGAAACCGUGGCAGGCAAACUUGUUAGCUCGUAAGUAGGGUCAAAUCUCAGACUCUUAGUGGUUUUUAACACCUACUUCUAGGGAAGCUUAGGAGUAGAAUAACUGAUACUUGGAUCCUCCUUAGAAACUGUGGUAAAAGUAAUUGUAUCUCAGUCUUCAGUGAGUUAUAGAACACCCUUAUCCAGGUCCCUGUCAGCCUAGAAGGAAACUUUAUAUCCAUUUUAUCUAUCCUACAAUUCUAUCUGCUUCUAGAUAGCAGAAUUUAUAAUUUAGUUAUACCUCAGCCAAAUAAAAAAAUUUUAUAUAAUAAAAUGGAAACUUCAAAAAAUAUGACAAGAGACAAAUAAACUAGAAAAGAAAGUCAAGAUCAGUUGAGGACAGGAUUUGUGUAUAACUAAUCUUAUAAAUCAAAUGUAUAAUACUUAGUUUUUAAUUCAAUACAUUGCUUAUAAACCAUGUUAAGUAUGCAUUUGUUGGAGGACUAAAAAAAAGAAAAGCUGUCAAUCUCCCAGUAUGUUCACCAAACUUUGGCUUUCCUCUCAUAAGCGCACUGAACUUUUAUUUUUAUUUAUUUUUUUUUUUUGAGAUAGAGUCUUGCUCUGUUGUCGCCCAGGCUGGAGUGCAGUGGUAUGAUCUCGGCUCACUGCAACCUCCCUCUCCCGGGUUCAAGCGAUUCUUCUGCCUCAGCCUCCCGAGUAGCUGGGACUACAGGCAUGUGCCACCACACCCGGCUAAUGUUUUGUAUUUUUAGUAGAGAUGAGGUUUCACCAUGUUGGCCAGGCUGGUCUCGAACUCCUGACCUCGGGUGAUCCACCCGAGGCCUGACAAAGUGCUGGAAUUACAGGAGUGAGCCACUGCAUCCAGCCUAGCACACUGAACUUUUAAGAGUACUUGGGAAACUUAGUAUGUUUAACACCUCCCAAAAGAAUGUUAAAAUGACCACAGUUUGCAAAAUUGAAGAGAAAACAAUGGCAACAUAAGGCACAAUAUUGGUAAUCAAGAAGAAACUAUAGCCAUGGAUAUGGAAGACAUUAAAAUAAUUAUAAUGAAUGCUUUGUGUAACUACAUUGCUUUGACACAUGGGUGUAAUAAUGGAUGAACUUUUGGGAAAAUAUGAAAGGGAAAAAUCUCAACAAAAAAGAAAACAUAAAUAGAUCAAUAACUGUAGAAAAAUUUGAGGAAGCAGUCAAAGAAUUCUUUUACAAAAGUACCACUUUGAAGCUGUGUCAAAGGUGAGUUUCUUUGUAGUUUCAAAGAACUAUUUAAAUAGUUUUGGAACACAGACAAAGGUGGAACAGUUCUCAGUUCUUUUCUGCAAAGGUAGAUUUGAUCCUUAAGUCUGACCACAAGAAUAGAAAGCAAAUAUAGAUUUUUAAAGAAAUAUAAAAUAAAAUGUUAGUUUUAACUAUUUCAUUGCUUAUUCUUGAUUCAGGGACAUAAAAACAUAAAGCAGCCCAGCCAUGGUGGCUCACACCUGUAAUCCCAGCACUUUGGAAGGCCGAGAUGGCCUGAUCACCUGAGGUCAGGAGUUCAAGACCAGCCUGGCCAACAUGGUGAAACCCCAUCUCUACUAAAAAUACAAAAGUUAGCCAGGCAUGGUGGCGGGCUCCUGUAAUCCCUGCUACUCGGGAGGCUGAGGCAGGAGAAUAGCUUAAACCCUGGAGGUGGAGGUUGCAGUGAGCUGAGAUUGCACCAUUGCACUCCAGCCUGGGCACCAAGAGUGAAACUCCAUCUCAAAAAUAGUAAUAGUAAUAAAGCAGUUUUAUAUUUCUCUAAUUUCAUCCUGAUCACUUUGGUUAUUAAAAGUCUGUCCAACUUAGUAUUUUGAUCUCACCCCUCGUCAUGGCUUUCCCGUCCCUAUACAAGCCAGUCUAAUGACACAGGGAGCUGAAAUGGAGAGGGGUAUGGUCAGCAAUUUGAUUACUCCUGUUCCCUCAACUGAGAGUAGGAGGUUGAUAUGGCCUUCUUCUAGCACAACUCCUCCUCACUCUUCUUCUAAUUUCUUUUUUCUCUUAUAUGGGUACAGUGGUGUGCUAAAGCCAGCUCCUACCAAUUCAUUAGAGCUGCUUGUUGAAUUUUCAGCAAUUUUGUGAGAUGUUUAUUAAACACUCACCAUUAAAAAUUAAAUUAUGUAAACUUAAAAUUCAAUGGCAUACCAAAAAUAAAGAUAAUACUCAAAACUCA
ensembl:lncRNA novel transcript, sense intronic to C1orf141